GGCAAUUUUUAACGUUUUGCGACUUGAUUUAGCCAAUAUCAUACUGUACAUGCUAAGAAAAUGAAAUCUGGGAGUGGGACUGGGAGUGAAAUCAUAACGUCUAACACAGUUACUCUCCAGUGAGGAAGUUACACUACACAAAAUCGACUUGGAUAUGUGAUGUUUGUAUGUCGAUCCAUUUGUUGCAUUUAUCACACUGCAGACCAUGUCUUUGGCACUUCCCAACCAUCUUCUUGCAAACAAGGAGUCACGGUGGCAAAAUAUAGAUCUUUAAAAAUGAUUCUCCAUGAUGUAACCAGCUUAUGUUGUUAAUGUAUGGUAAAACUUCAACACAACAAAAUGGCAGGUUUCGAUGGCAAAUUAACGAGAGCUGGAGACAAAGAAAGACGGGCUAGUACUAGAAGUGCCAAAUAUGUAAGACCAGCUGAAAUUCAUCAGCAUCAUCUACGUAGUUCUGUUUCAUACCCUGGUGCUAGUGGAGAAGACCAGUCGAAUCCUGAAGAAGGCUGGUAUACAAAAGCAGGCUCUACUAAUAUUCAUUUCCAUGGCGAUGUGACGAACUUACAAAUUGGUAGUAAUAACACCAUGCACGUACAUCAGAAUAGUGUAAAAUGUACCUAUACGAAACAGAAGACUCAAACCAAACCAGAUGGAAAAAAGCCGAAGAAAAAUUUUAGUGAAGAUGAAAAGAGAAAGUAUGCAGAGCUGAAAGUAUGCCGUACAGAGGUAACCCAAGAACAUAUGUUAACAUUAUGUAAAAAAAUUGGAAAAAGAUGGAGACAUUAUGGCCGGAAACUUGGAUUAUCUGACGAAGAUCUUGAAUAUAUUAAUGACAGCGAUAAUGGUCUUCGUGAAAUUGUUUAUAAAAUGCUCACAGCCUGGAAACAAAAAAGUGAAAAUGUCUCGGUUGGAGAACUUGUUACUCUUUUGACAAAUGAUGGAGAUAUCUCUGUUAUAAUAGAUUUAAUUAGGGAUACCUAAAUUGAUUUAUUUUUGUUGAUGUGAUAUUUGUGAUAUAUUAAGAAACAGGGAGUUUUUGAAACACCCACCAGACAGUAUAAAUCUACAUAUAUAUAGUGCUUAUUGGAUGUGUGUACCAUACUACCAUAAUAAUUUUAAUAUAAAACCUUAAAAAAAAACCUGGAUUGACAUGGGGGGUUGGGAUGGCCUAGUGGUCUAGAAUUUCACGCUUCGACCUCUAGCUGGCUGGUAACCUCUGGCUUGCGGCUGUGGUUUCGAUCUCUGGUGUGAGCGCAUGUGGCUUGGAGAUAGGGGCGCCUUCUCAACCUCAUGGGUUUACUCUGGGUACUCCCACAGGAAAGACCCCUGCGCGUGCGUUAGAUAAUAAAUAAAAAAGUAAGACCUGUCUGCGAUAUCACCUUCGGUGGAAGGGGAUGUUAAACACUAAGAACAACAACAUGGAUUGACAUGUGAUAAAUAUGCAGCCAUAUAGUGAAUCUUACUUAUCCCUCAGCUGUAUGUGACUAUUUCUAAAAAUGCGUCCCAUUUCAAAAGUUUUCCUGCUGGUUUAUCAAGAGACUAUUUUUGACUGUUUCUGUUUAAGUCCCUAGAAAAUAGGAACUAUAGAUGCUGAAAUGUUAGUUUAUGCUAUAAUAGUGCUACACAAAUCUGGAGACAAACUAGUGUAUGUUAUAGGACAGUUUUUAUCUCUCAGAAUAGUAUUUAAUCAAUGUGUUUUUAUUUAUAUCUUCACUCGAAAGAGGGUUUGUUCAUCUAAUGUGAGUUUAAUGCAUUGUCCAAAUGUAUGUUUUGACCAGCUGAUUGUGGUGUUCAUUAUAAAUUUUGUAUUAGCCUCGCUCUUCUGAUACAUGUAUGUACCAUAAUCAAAAAAUGGUAACACACACACACACACACACACACCGACAUACAAAAAUUGGCAUGUGGAAAGACUAGUAUACGUAGUCUUAUGCCAAACAACCACCACAACUUGUAUUUAUGACACCAAAACAACGACCACAACUUGUAUCAAUGCAUGUUCAAUAGAAGGCUUGAUCUCGCUUUAACUACGUACAUCUUAUCAAGGCCUUCAUGUAAUACCCUGCAUAUUUCGGCAAUAAUUUCAAUUGGGUACAAGCCCAGAUUGUGAGCCUAUCAUAUUCCUUGAUCGUCGCGAAUACCAAGUCUCGCACUUUCAAGCUAAAAUGUCAACCUGUGAUAAUCAAGUUGCAAAGUUCAAGGUUCGUUCAAUGUCAAGGUUGCCGUGGAGGUCGCUAUGUCACAACCUCUGAUUUGACGCCACUGUUCAUGUGUCUGUAGAUAACGUAGCUAUAAGUUCGGGCAUUGUGAAGUAAUCUAGCAACGUCCAGAUUCAGUCGUUGCUUCAGGAACAUGGUAUCAAUGAUACUAAAACAACUGCCAUAAUUUUUAUCUAUGAUACCAAAACUGUCUUGAAUGUUGUUUAGAAUGCAUUAUUAAUAAUACAAGGUAUAUUACUUCUGCUUUAUAGGAAUAUCAAUGUUCCAUGUACAAUGGCUGCUUUUUCAUUUGAAAAGGGCUUGUGUCAAAAUAUAAAACAUAACAUAUAUUACUAGUAGGGGUUUGCAAUACAUGAAAUGUGCUUAUAUGACUAGUAUUUUAUAACUACAAUAUUUGUAAUAUAAAUUGAAUGUAUGUUCCAUUUGCUCAAGACAAGAGGUUAAUUUGUUGCCUUAACUUUAGGGCAUUGAGCAGUCUAAAAUAUGCACUAACGUUUCAACACCAAUCUUAUUAAGACUUUGCAAGCUUGUUCCAUGUGUAAAAUAACCCAGGGUACACAUAAUAUAACUGUCUGACCCUUUAUUAUCAUGCUUUGGGUCAAGUUUGGAACAUAGUUGGUAAAUAAAAUUGGUAUUUUGGGGGGUUAUUAUAUGUAAUUGAUCACUCCAAUUAACAAAAAAUGUCAUAUCUUAUGAACAAAACUUAUAGCGCUAGCUUUAAAAUGUACAUUUUAGAGUACUCAACGCCCUUAAAUCAUAUUGUUGUAAUAUUUCAUUUAAUGAAUAUUGCUCAUAAGUGUAAAUAAAAUUCACUCUAAAUUAACAAUAGAAGAAAUGUAUUGUAUGUAUAUAUAUGUAUGUUAUUAACCAAUUAAAACCAGACUCUUAUUUCGUAUAAUUUUAUGAUGUAAAAUUACAGUCUGACAAAUCUUCAAGAAUUUGUGUUCAAAUUAACUUGGCCUAACCUCUCAUCUGGCCAAUGAAGAGGAGCUAUAUCUUAGGCAAUAAUUGAUUUAAUAUACCUGUCAGAAUGGCUUAUAUGAAAUCUGAGUGUAGAUGAAGAUGAAGUUUAAUUAGUUGAAAAUAAGAUCUAAUCUACAUGUUAAUAUAUAAAAGUUAAUUUGUUUGUUUUUUUGUCUGUUUGUUAUAGAAUAACUUUAUAAAGAAAUUUAAUGCUGUUUAUUUUGUAUCUGGUAUUUUGUAUAUUAAAGAAAAACAGUGGCUCAAGAAGGGCAAGAACAUCACAAACCUGAGUAGGCUGAAAGAUGUUAACAUUCUAUAAUAUAAUGUUGAAAAUCAAUCUUAAAAUUAGGAUAUUUUCUUCUGUAAGGCCAAGAAAAUAAACUUGCUGUGUUUACAGUUACUUGGCCCCAAAAAUAUAGGGUUGAUCAGUCAGAAAAAUUUGUUUAUUAUUAUUUUUUUCGUUCGGUUUGUAUUGUCUAUUUCGUAAAAUUUCUAGCGUAAAGAUGCAUUAUGUGGGAUUUAGAUAAAGAGCUGGUUGUCCUUGCAGCGUUCUUGCUAUGAAAGUUUAAAAAAUAGAUAAAGGAAUAUUUUGAAAAUUUCAGUCCAAUUAUUUCAUUUUGACUAAGUUGACUAUUUUAUUAGUGUUUGAAGUUUUGAUAUGAAUAGCUAUUCUCGAUUUUCAUUGCUACCAUUAUUACAAUACUAAACAAAGUCUCAAUUAUCCAUUUUUAAAUUAACUUAUUAAGUGAUGGCCGCUGUGUUUCAAUCCAUUAAAAAUCACGACCUUCCGAACAUCUAGAUUAUGGACUAAUACAUUAAUUUAUAUAAUUUGAGGCUAAAAGAAAAACCUGCAAUGGACAGAUUUAGCUCACUGUAUCUUUCUUGAAAAUAAUACCGAAGUUUACUUUGGUCUAUCUGUCUCUUAAAGAUCACCAUUACUAAAGUCAUGACGAUAAAAACAAUAGUCUUGAUUGUCCAUUUCAUGAUUUAAUCAUGAAUGAAUGAAAGCUGAGCAGCAAAUCGGGUCCUAGUCCAGUAAAUAUCACAGGCUAGCGAUGACAUCGAGAGUUGUUUAUGGUCUGAAUAAGUUAAUUAAUGUCUAAUUAAUAACUUACAUAACAUUUCAGGCCUAAAGAAAGACCUGCAAUAGACAGAUUUAGCUCUUGCAUAAUGUAUGUUUAAUUUUCCCACUUUACAUCAUAAUACAUGCAUGCUUGUUUAUGUUAAAAGAGCAAAACCUCUUUGAUCUGGGUAAAAAUAAAGUAUGGAAAUGUGUUAAUUUCAUGUGUUAUUUCAAAAGAUUAAACAAAUGUCGCUUGGUUUAUUAUUUCAAGUUUCAAUUUCAACUUACUGUGUUGUUGACAGUUGAAAACAAAAUUGCUUAUGUCUAAUCAUUGGCUUCAAUUUAGAUAUAAAAUUUUCAACCAAGACAAAUUGUCAUCCAUCCAAACAAAUCAAUAAUUGAACACCCAGUUUUAUUUUUGACCCAAAUUAAAGAGGUCAAGUCAUUUUAUGAUAGAAUAAUCUUUUAUUUCAGAUUCGUAUUGUGUUCGUAUUUUUAAAAAUAGUAUACCGAGAGGCAAUGAAAACGAAACAUUAUUGAUAAAUGGAUGAUGGUAAAUCUCGUUUAAGAGAUUCCAUUUUUGAAUGGUGCAGAUGUAGGGUAUAAUGUGUGUGCAUUUUCAGACGCUAGGCUCAGUAUAGCAACAACGAGAACGAGAACGUAGCUAAAAACGUUGAGAUAUACUGGGUAGAGAUGCAGUUUCUUAUUUAGGGUCAGUACAACUCCUACAGUUUGUGAAACACAUCAGGCCCGUAGCUAGCCGGCGCGGGGCACGUUGCACACUAAUGACACUAUACCAUGAGAUUGGUCGAACAGAAGAUAUGGUCCACGUGAGACCUGUCAAUGCCUGGACGACAACAUUUUGCGCCUCGACAAAACAUGUAUAUUAGCUCUACUGCUGUUGUUGUGAGGGGUCCACGUCCAUGUGUUCACAGUGUUGACACUUCAUUGCGGACUAAGCUUUGUCGAAAUUUGUGCCAGACCGACUUACGUUGUACACAUUCUAACACAAAGCUGUUACAGACUUUGAUGUAUACCCCCAGUACCCCCGUUUCACUAUAAAGGAAGUUGGUGCUGAUUUUAUUUGUCUGUAAAUGCUCAGCCUACAAUCAUGCCAAAAAUCACAAUUCAACUGAAUUUUGUCUCGCCAACACCCCAGUUACAGUGGUGCGUUUUCAUUGCAUCUCAGUUCAUAUUUAUGUUUAUUCUCAUUCAUCAAUUGUAAAUAAUAUUUCAUGUUUUUGAUCAUAUCAUUUGAUCUCAUUACAUAUGUAUUAAAAUUAACAUGAUUAUGAACAAUGAAUGUAUUAAAAACGUUUAGCUCCAUGUACUUAAAUUGUUUAAGAAAAAGUGAUGGAAGGUAUACAACACGUUUGUUUAAUUGUCUUACUAGGACCUAUAAAAUAGUGUACCCAUAACACAAAUCUGAUGAAGACUGUUGCGUUUCUGAAAAAACGAAACUACCCGGUCGGAAUUUGCUGAACCCGAGAAAGCUGUUGAUGUAGACAAUAUCGCCUAGUUGUUCAAAAUGAGAGGUCAUAAAAUCAUGUUUAAACAUAUUUCUUACACCAGUGAUUCGUCAUUUAUUGUAAGUUAUUAGUUUUGCCAAAUGAGAAAAUAAUUUGUAUACGCCCACAUUUUCACGUUGACGUAUAUUGUCGUCGAACCUGUCUGUCCGGACGGCCGUACGUCGGCCCGUGGGGACGUCUGUCCACAAUUUGUUUGUGGACACGCUACAGGUCACAUUGUUUAUCCGAUUUUGAAGAAAAGUGAAAUAUAGGUUUAUCGUCAACGGAUCUCGACUCCCAUCGAUAUUGGCAUGUGUCGGACCGUAAUUUCAUGGAUUAUGACCCCUGACUGUACGAAAAAUAACAGUUUUAGCUUGUGGACACUCUAGAUGCCGCAAUUUUGAUCCGAUUGUGAUGAAACUGAAAACAUGGGUUUAUUUCCCAAAAAUCUCUGUUCUUUUGGAUAUUCACGCAUAUCGGACCCUAACUUUCGGGAUUAUGGCCCCUGAUUGUACGAAAGAAUCGCGAUUUUAGUUUGUGGACCCUCUAGAGGUUACAGUUUUUGUCCGAUUUUAAAACCGUUUAAAUGUAUCACCGUUACACCAUAACGACGGUUGAGUUAAAAUUUCGGGAAAAAUCGAAACGAAACUAUCCGAUGAAAUGGCCCUCUAGUGGUCACAAUUUCUGUCUAAUUUUGAUGAAACUUAAAAUAUAUGUUUAUAUCCCGAAGAUACCAGUUCUUUUCGAUAUUAGCGCAUUUCAGACCAUAACCUCCUGAAUUAUGGCCCCUGAUUGUACGAAAAAUCACGUUUUUCCAGCUUGUUCUCUAUCCAUCGCUUGCAAAAUGUGGGCGUAUCUUGCAUGGCAACCACUUGUUAUUCCAGCAAUCAUUCAUGUAUGGAAUCCUUUUCUUUUUCUGUAAUAUAAUACUUGUAAAAUAAUAAACCUAUUU